AAGAGAUCACAGAUUUGAAGUAGGUGUUGAUGGAUGCUUUGGAAAUUGCUGCAAAACAUAUUUACAAGAUAAUCCAAUUGUGAAAUGCUCUAGAUGGACUGAGAAUACCAUGUCUGGUUCUGGCCUUUAAGGACAAGAGAAACAUUCAACAACUGGAGGAAAUACAGAGAAUACUGAAGCUCAGGGUCUAAGUGAGGAAAGAUGGAAAUCCUCGAUGAAAGACCUGGCCGCCAUCAUAACACAUGAUGGAGAUAUGUUUGCAAGAAUUCAGAGUCUGGAGGUGCAGUCAAGGGAGAACUUGCUUGUGAUGAAUUAUGUCGAAGAUCCUCACUGCAUUGUGUCAGAGUGAGGCCAAAUGUCCUGAAGGGAUUUGCCAUUGAGACACAACCUCUUUUCAGGUAUGAGUGAGAAAGUCUGUUACCAAGAGAAUGGAAAGUGGGAUGAGGAAAAACUGACCUAAUAUCACUGGAAGAAAAAGAUUACUUGUACGGAGGUAUCUGAACAAAAGAAGAUUGUGGAACACCUAAGCAAUAAAAUGAACAGGAACGAAGGAAUUGUAAAACUCCUGAAAUUAGUUGCAAUAUCAACUGUUAGUAGUAAUAAAAUUGA